GUGCCGCCGCUGUCCGUGCGCCCGGCUGUGGUCAAGCAGGGCUCUGCUCGCAACCAGGUGCGCUUUUGGGGGGAUUUUCGGGGAUUUUGGGGUUCCUGGAGAGGUUUUGGGGUGAUUUGGGGUGAUAUUUUGGGGGGUUUUGGGGUCUCUGGGGCACCGUGCUGCCCGUGCCGCCGCUGUCCGUGCGCCCGGCCGUCGUCAUGCAGGGCUCUGCUCGCAACCAGGUGCGCUUUUGGGGGAUUUUCGGGGAUUUUGGGAGGUUUUGGGGUGAUUUGGGGU